UGAGCAAUCUGCCCUUCUCAUCGGAAUAAGCGUUGGAAACGACGUCUAAUGCCGAAUACGACCUCCUUUCGCAUGAUCGGAGGUGGAAAGCUCCGGCGGAGAAGGAUGAGCUCGCGGCCUAUCAGCUAGUUGGUGUGGGUAAUGGCCCACAAGGCGACGACGGGUAGCCGGCCUGGAGAGGGUGGCCGGCCACACUGGGACUGAGACACGGCCCAGACUCCUAGUGGGAGG
rnacentral:rRNA from 1 species